CCAGGAAUAGCUGGUGAAUUCUGGGUAGUGGACACGUGACAAGAGACGCUGGACCAGGGAAGUCAAACCCUUUGAAGCGGGUGAUAGAGGGACCACGGACAGGUAGCUGUUCAGAGUCCUUGUAAAUUUCAAAAAGCUCCACUCUAACUCAGUCAUUCAAAAGUAGGCUUAGGUAGAUAGACCUCAGCUCUGAUUGGUUAUGCCCUAUACAAAUGAAGACUUGUACUCCCAGCCAAUCAGGAGCGAGUUGUGGAUGUCAUAAGUUCAGUUCUCUAUUUGGUCCGGGGGGUGGGACUUCCUCCUCUCAGGAGCCAAUAUAAACCCCAGACUCCACAGCCUAGCCGUCAUCCUCCCAUGGAGCCCCUCCUAUGUAGGAGGGGCUUGCUUUUUUACUAAUUAAGAGAGCUUUGCUGAUUGCUCUGUACUCUUAUAUGCUGGCGUCAUUCUUCAUAGCCUCCAAGACACAAUCCUGGGAAAAACAGCGUCUCAGCCGAGGAAGAGCAUGUGUCCUAAGAUGCACCUGCAGAGGACAUCGGGGUGAUGUGUGAAGUCUCCAGCAAGACAGCUCAGCCAGGUGAACAACGAGCGUAGGGAGCACACAGCUCUCUGGCAGGUGACACUACCGCUUGCUCCAGCCGCUCAGAGGACGCACCAGAGCACCUGCAGUUUUGUCCCAGCUCCACCUCCAACCAGGGAGAAGCCGCUUUGGAUCUCUAUAUUUUGAUCUCUCAUGUGGAAAAUGGGAGACACCCACCCUGUGUCCUCUCUCCACCACAGGAACACCGUGUUUCCCAUGUCACCCCGGCACCGCCCCAGAGCUGCCGUGGGGCUGCCGGGAAGAGAAAGGUAACAGCGAUUCAUGAACCAGCAAACACUGAACUCAGAACAGCGUCACCCCCUGGGGUCUCCUCAGAGUCCAAGCUGGAGAUGCCAGCAUGGCCCUGUGCCACCUGCCUCCCUACUUCUGGUAGGACCAUCACGUGUGGUUCCUUCCUUCCAGGUCUCAACACCCAGCACUCUGGAAUUUUUCUCUUUUUGCCUCCACCCCAAAGGCCAUAUGACACCUUUCUGGCUCCUAGUGACCUUAGAAGGAUCAGUGAGGGGAAAGAAUACAAGAAAGGCCACCAGGCCUUACAGCACCUGUGGAGCACCAACAGGGAACACACAGGACACAUUAUCUUUGCUUAUUCCUCAGACCCUGACAUUGUGACCCCCUCACCUUUGUGUCUGACUGGAUGACCAUCAUCUUGCCCUCCGUGGAGACUAAAGGCAGAAGACGGUCAAGGGGGCACUUUCCCUGGCCCAAGCCAAUUCAGUCACUUCCCCCUGAAACCACCAGGUGGCAGGCAUGCGGCCCUCUGGCAGGGUCCCCACCUCACUUCUGUGAGAGACUGGGUUCCUCACAAGCAUGUCUUCUAAGAGCUUCCAUUCUCCAAGUAUUUAAUGGUUGGAUCCUCUUAAAUUACACAAAUCCCGUUUCCAAGCCUCUGUAUGUCUGGUUGGCCUAAAUUAGACCCACUGUAGGGUAAUAUUUCAUUGGGGGACACGUGAUGUUUCCCUAGGAAACAUUUCACAAGCAUUUCUUGCAGUUGCAUGGAGUAUAUGUGGGCCUUGGUCCAAGGCUGGCCCUGAAGGUCUGAAUGGGCCCCAGAUGCCCCAUCCCACUCCUUUCAAAGCCGUGGGAAGGAAGCCAGGACUUUAACUAAAUGGAAAAGGGAGUGAAUUCUUCCUGGUUCCCAGUGCUUGAGAGCUAAGGACAUUAUGCAGAUAAUGGUCAGCAGAGAAAGGAUAUUUACUGAAGAAUGCUAUUAAAAUUUCACAAACUCUUCCCCACCAAUCAGAAUACAAAGCCCUUACGGCAAAGGGUCCGUCUCACUUUCUCCCGGAACACCCAAGCCACUUGGUCCCACAGGCAAUGAUUUUGAAACACAUUAUUUUAAACUGCCGAUAGACUUCUGUCACAGGGAGGGGAAAUUUUUCAAACACUAUGUUCUCAAAGACUAAAGUAAAUAUUCUCUGGGGAGGACAUCCCAUGUUAGCUUUCUCUCAAUGUGAUCCUCAGUGGGUGGCUCUGAAGUGAACCUGAGUGUGUCUAAUUUUUAACCUAUUAACGUCUUA